rnacentral:rRNA from 1 species
AGAGUUUGAUUCCUGGCUCAGGAUGAACGCUAGCGGCAGGCUUAACACAUGCAAGUCGAGGGGUAUGGUUCUUCGGAACCAGAGACCGGCGCACGGGUGCGUAACGCGUAUGCAAUCUACCUUUUACAGAGGGAUAGCCCAGAGAAAUUUGGAUUAAUACCUCAUAGCAUUAUGAAAUGGCAUCAUUUUAUAAUUAAAGUCACAACGGUAAAAGAUGAGCAUGCGUCCCAUUAGCUAGUUGGUAAGGUAACGGCUUACCAAGGCUACGAUGGGUAGGGGUCCUGAGAGGGAGAUCCCCCACACUGGUACUGAGACACGGACCAGACUCCUACGGGAGGCAGCAGUGAGGAAUAUUGGACAAUGGGCGCAAGCCUGAUCCAGCCAUGCCGCGUGCAGGAUGACGGUCCUAUGGAUUGUAAACUGCUUUUGCACAGGAAGAAACAACAUUACGUGUAAUGUCUUGACGGUACUGGAGAAUAAGAUCGGC